GGGGCUAUAGCUCAGCUGGGAGAGCGCUUGCAUGGCAUGCAGGAGGUCUGCGGUUCGAUCCCGCUUAGCUCCACCA
rnacentral:tRNA from 1 species